rnacentral:lncRNA from 1 species
CUUGGAUGGCCCUGGACCCAGGGCCUGUUGCCAGGGGCAGCCUCCCACCCAUCACCACAAUAUAAGGGCCAUCAGCACCCAGCAGAAUUCCAGGAGACUGUGCAGUGGAGCAAGGAUUUUGUGUCAGGAAAAGAUGUUUCAGCUUUGGAGACUUGUUCUUUUGUGUGGCCUGCUCACUGGGACUUCAGCAUCUCUUCUUAACAACAGUGUUGUGACAGAGCUGCAAUCUGCUCUUAGAAAAGAACUUGAGAUUGAUGACAGUGCAUCUGAAUCUGUCCUUGAUCAAGUGAAGGCUGAUUUUGAGUGGCCCCAGAAUUUCACAAGUUUGGAGAAAGUAGUUACUGAGAAGAUCCAGGAAGAUGAGAUCUUGUUGGACAAGAACAUUACUGAAAAUAUUCGCUUGUCAGGAAAACCAUUUGUCGGGUGUUUACGGUGCUUACGGUGUUUAUCGUGUAUACGGUUGACAAUCAGGAGCAUCAACAUGGGGAAUAUCGCAUUCCAAGGGACUCCUGGAAGCCCAAGCGGUAGCCUGAGUAUCCCCAUCACUGCUAAGGUCACCCUGACCCUGCCUCUGUUGGGUGCGGUUGUUGACCUGACCCUCAACUUUGUCCUACAGACAAGUAUCAGCUUUAAAAUUGGUGAAACUGGUGCCUUAAUGGUGGUCAUAGGAGAAUGCACCUACAGACCAGCCAGGAUAUCACUCCCCUUCGUGAACAGUUCCGUCUCCAGCCUCACUGUACCGAGCAGCAAUAUCAGACAGACUGUGACCACACUCGUGAAUCUGGUGGAGACGUACCUAGUGCAGGACGUGCUGUGCCCACGAAUCCGCACCAUCAUCAGCUCCUCAAAUGAGAAUUUGGUUCAGAACCUCAAAGGUAAGUCACAGCCUGGGGAAGCGGUGGGUGCUCCCUCUGCAGCCUUCCAAGGGGCAGGCGCACUGCUGUAUGUCUGCUUGACAGGCAGGACUGUCAGGGGACCCUGGAGAACUUCAGGAUCCUUUGUCCUGAGCAAGUCAGGAGAGUGUGGCUGGGGGAAUGGUGUCCCUGCAGACUGAGGGCUUCUAUUGCCCUCCUUUCUUACACCUGUGGAACCAGCUGCACAGAAUGAUGCAAGAAAGAGGACAGGCCAGAUCUGGGUUCAAAUUCUGCAUUUGCUCUUAGCAGCUGUGGGGUCUUGGUCAACUGUUUCCACCUCUCUGAUCCUUGGGUUCCUCACAAAUGAAAGAUUGUAAACACUGCCAAGCUGAUGAGCGGAUUUAAAGAAGAAACAGAAAGAGCCUAAUAUCCCAUAGUCAUUGCUACUGAACACUGCCCCUUCCCUUUCCCUUCUUAUGAGGAGUUGUGGCUUCACCCCCAGCCCCUGGGGGCUUUCCUUGAUCUGGCUCUCUGGCAUGACUGGGGUUGCUGAGGCUGUGGGGCAACAGAAAUGGGAUGAGUAACAGUGUCAGGGUCCUGGAGGUGGUCCUUCUAGAAAACAGCCACAGGCCCAGUUCCCUGGGCCAUGUCUCUGUGCUUCGUAUACAGCAUCUCAUUGUAUUCCUUCAACAACACUAUGGAGUGGGUACUGUUAUCAUACCCAUUUUACAGAUGAACAAACGUAGGCUCAGAGAGACAGAGUGACAUGCAAGAGAUCCCUUGGUUGCCAAGUCUGACCUGCUGGAGGGUGGCAGCCACUGGGAUCUAGUUUCUAUUCAGCUAUAUCCAGAUCUGGAGAAAUGCUACUGAUUUUGUUCCCUCAGAAACACUUCAGGAAACCGCACAAGAAACUGUAAACUGAAGAGGACAGAUGAGGAAAACCAUCUGCUGGUGAGAACAUGACUUGGGGCCCUGGGCUAAGGGAGGAUGCGACCUCCCCACAGGGGCCUGUGGAGAAGAAGCAAGUCUUGGCCUCUCUUCUUUCUCUAGUAGCAGAAUCAGCUCUGAUCUUGGUCACAGCCUGAGUCCUGACCCUUAAUCACACCCAGAUUGUGCUUGAUUCUGGUCCUUGACUGAGCCGGAGUGCAGUCAGGUUGAAGUUUAGCUCAAGUUGCUGACUGAGCCCUGACACUGGCCACAGAUAGACGCACGACCUGUGUCUCAGUCUGAUCCCUGAUCCUGAUCAUACUCUGAGCCCUGAGCCCUGGCUUCUUGAGCCUCACUCUGUCUUUUCACAUCAGCCAUUGUUGCUAAGGUGGGGGGGGGGAGGUGGCAGGGUGAGGGGAUGAGGAGGGGUCAGGGCCAGGUGCCAGAGAAAGACCCCAAACUACAGGUGCCAGUCACCCACCCAUAAGCCUCAGAGCUCGCAGGAUUUGUGCUGAAGCACUCUGGCAGCUGUUCCUGCUGAACGCAGGAGCCGGUAAGGGCCCCGGGGUGUCCACGCCUUACUCUGGGGUCUCCUUCCAGAUUGGUUCCUGGGGACAUGGCUGAAUCUCUGUACCGUCUCCCUCUGGGGUGGUCAGUGCUGCCACCAUCCCCCAGGAGUGACAACUGAGCCCAGUCAAGGACGCUCUCAGAUACGCCUUCUCACAGUCAGGACACCCUAUGCUCCUUGCCCUCCACCCCCAGCAAUAAAAUGGCAUUUCUGCCCCUUCUGUGUGGCCCG